ensembl:lncRNA
UGGAAUAGGGCCUGGUGGAGUGGGACCUGGUGGGGUGGGGCCUGGUGGUGUGGGGCCUGGUGGAGUGAGGCCUGGUGGAGUAGGGCCUGGUGGAGUGGGACCUGGUGGGCUGGGGCCUGGUGGAGUGGGACCUGGAGGAGUGGGCCCUGGUGGAGUGAGGCCUGGUGGAGUGGGACCUGGUGGGGUGGGGUCAAGUGGAGUAGGGCCUGGUGGAGUAGGGCCUGGUGGAGGUGGCUUUGGUCCAGGAGGAGUUGGUCUAGGACUUGGAGGUCCAGGAGGCUACGGGCCUGGUGGAACUGGCUAUCGACCAGGUGGAACUGCAACAGGGACAGGAACCACUCUAGGAGGCCCUGGUGGUGCUGCUGGACCUGGUUAUGGAAGUGUAGCUGGAGGACUCUACCCUGGAGCAGGCCAGAAAUCCAAGGCCCAGAAAGCAGCUAAAUAUGCAGCACUGCAGGCAUUACUGGGAACUGGUGGCUACAGAGGACGAAGGAGGAAGUGAAAGAGCAGUAUACAGGAAGUGACCUCAUUUAAUAAUGUUGGUGCUAUAUGGCAUGAUUGUAUGUGUUUACCUGACUUCAACACUCUCCUACAAGCUGUUUUAAAACUGUAUUCAGAAUAUUUCAAAAACAGAAUGGAGUGGGUU